rnacentral:rRNA from 1 species
UACGGAGGGAGCUAGCGUUGUUCGGAAUUACUGGGCGUAAAGCGCACGUAGGCGGCUUUGUAAGUUAGAGGUGAAAGCCCGGGGCUCAACCCCGGAAUUGCCUUUAAGACUGCAUCGCUUGAAUCCAGGAGAGGUGAGUGGAAUUCCGAGUGUAGAGGUGAAAUUCGUAGAUAUUCGGAAGAACACCGGUGGCGAAGGCGGUUCUCUGGGCAUUACCUGGACGCUGAGGCGCGAAAGCGUGGGGAGCGAACAGG